rnacentral:tRNA from 1 species
GCUCGCUAGCAUAGUUUGUAAAAGCACUCGUCUACCAUACUAGAGUCGUGGGUUCGAAUCCCACCUGAGCA